CCUGACUGCUAUCGGAUUGAUACUAAGCCAUGCGAGUCGUUGUAGCAAUGCAAGGCAGACGGCUCAGUAACACGUAGUCAACCUACCCUAUGGUCGGGGAUAAUCUCGGGAAACUGAGCAUAAUACCCGAUAGGUCAUAAUGCCUGGAAUGGUUUAUGGCCCAAAUGAUUUAUCSCCAUAGGAUGGGACUGCGGUCUAUCAGCUUGUUGGUGAGGUAAUGGCCCACCAAGGCAAUAACAGAUACGGGCUCUGAGAGGAGAAGCCCGGAGAUGGGUACUGAGACACGGACCCAGGCCCUAUGGGGCGCAGCAGGCRAGAAAACUUUGCAAUGUGCGAAAGCACGACAAGGUUAAUCCGAGUGUUUCCUGCUAAAGGAAUCUUUUGUCGAUCCUAAAAACACCGAUGAAUAAGGGGUGGGCAAGUUCUGGUGUCAGCCGCCGCGGUAAAACCAGCACCUCAAGUGGUCAGGAGGAUUAUUGGGCCUAAAGCAUCCGUAGCCGGCUGUGUUAGUCUCCGGUUAAAUCCAUAUGCUUAACAUAUGGGCUGCCGGAGAUACUGCACAGCUAGGGAGUGGGAGAGGUAGACGGUACUUGGUAGGAAGGGGUAAAAUCCUUUAAUCUACUGAUGACCACCUGUGGCGAAGGCGGUCUACUAGAACACGUCCGACGGUGAGGGAUGAAAGCUGGGGGAGCAAACCGGAUUAGAUACCCGGGUAGUCCCAGCUGUAAACAAUGCAAACUCAGUGAUGCGCUGGCUUGUGGCCAGCGCAGUGCCGCAGGGAAGCCGUUAAGUUUGCCGCCUGGGAAGUACGUACGCAAGUAUGAAACUUAAAGGAAUUGGCGGGGGAGCACCACAAGGGGUGAAGCCUCGGUUC
rnacentral:rRNA from 1 species